AUAUAAAAAUUUCCUUUUGAAUUAGGAGAGAAAAAGUUAAAAUAAAUUUUUCUUU
rnacentral:tRNA from 1 species